CUGUUGGGUAGGGGAGCGUUGUGUAAGCGGAAGAAGGUUCAUCGAGAGGUGGGCUGGACGUAUCACAAGUGCGAAUGCUGACAUAAGUAACGAUAAAACGGGUGAAAAACCCGUUCGCCGGAAGACCAAGGGUUCCUGUCCAACGUUAAUCGGGGCAGGGUGAGUCGGCUCCUAAGGCGAGGCUGAAAAGCGUAGUCGAUGGGAAACAGGUUAAUAUUCCUGUACUUGGUAAAGCUGCGAUGUGGGGACGGAGUAGGUUAGGUUAUCGCACUGUUGGAUAUGUGCGUUUAAGUUGGUAGGUGGGAAGUUUAGGCAAAUCCGGACUUCCUUAACACAGAGAGAUGAUGACGAAGCUCUACGGAGCUGAAGUAACUGAUACCACACUUCCAGGAAAAGCCACUAAGCGAAAGGCUUUACUAAACCGUACUGAAAACCGACACAGGUGGUCAGGUAGAGAAUACUCAGGCGCUUGAGAGAACUCGGGUGAAGGAACUAGGCAAAAUAGCACCGUAACUUCGGGAGAAGGUGCGCCGGCGUAGAUUGUAAGGGCUAGCCCCUGAAGGUUGAACCGGUCGAAGAUACCAGCUGGCUGCAACUGUUUAUUAAAAACACAGCACUCUGCAAACACGAAAGUGGACGUAUAGGGUGUGAUGCCUGCCCGGUGCUGGAAGGUUAAUUGAUGGUGUAAUCGCAAGAGAAGCACCUGAUCGAAGCCCCAGUAAACGGCGGCCGUAACUAUAACGGUCCUAAGGUAGCGAAAUUCCUUGUCGGGUAAGUUCCGACCUGCACGAAUGGCAUAAUGAUGGCCAGGCUGUCUCCACCCGAGACUCAGUGAAAUUGAAAUCGCCGUGAAGAUGCGGUGUACCCGCGGCUAGACGGAAAGACCCCGUGAACCUUUACUAUAGCUUGACACUGAACAUUGAAUUUUGAUGUGUAGGAUAGGUGGGAGACUUAGAAGUAGUCACGCCAGUGAUUAUGGAGUCGUCCUUGAAAUACCACCCUUUAACGUUUGAUGUUCUAACGAAGAUGACGAAACGUGGUCUCGGACAGUGUCUGGUGGGUAGUUUGACUGGGGCGGUCUCCUCCCAAAGCGUAACGGAGGAGCACGAAGGUUUGCUAAUCACGGUCGGACAUCGUGAGGUUAGUGCAAUGGUAUAAGCAAGCUUAACUGCGAGACAGACAAGUCGAGCAGGUACGAAAGUAGGUCAUAGUGAUCCGGUGGUUCUGAAUGGAAGGGCCAUCGCUCAACGGAUAAAAGGUACUCCGGGGAUAACAGGCUGAUACCGCCCAAGAGUUCAUAUCGACGGCGGUGUUUGGCACCUCGAUGUCGGCUCAUCACAUCCUGGGGCUGAAGUAGGUCCCAAGGGUAUGGCUGUUCGCCAUUUAAAGUGGUACGCGAGCUGGGUUUAGAACGUCGUGAGACAGUUCGGUCCCUAUCUGCCGUGGGCGUUGGAUGAUUGAUUGGGGCUGCUCCUAGUACGAGAGGACCGGAGUGGACGCAUCACUGGUGUUCCAGUUGUCUCGCCAGAGGCAUUGCUGGGUAGCUAAAUGCGGAAGAGAUAAGUGCUGAAAGCAUCUAAGCACGAAACUUGCCAAGAGAUGAGUCAUCCCUGACUUUAAGUCAGUAAGGGUUGUUGUAGACUACGACGUAGAUAGGUCU
rnacentral:rRNA from 1 species